rnacentral:lncRNA from 1 species
UGAGGAGACAGACAGGGCUACUCUCUGAGAGAUACCGGGGCUGGACAGACAGACAGGGCUAUUCUCUGAGAGAUACCAGGGCUGGACAGACAGACAGGGCUAUUCUCUGAGAGAUACCGGGGCUGGAGAGACAGACAGGGCUACUCUCUGAGAGAUACCAGGGCUGGACAGACAGACAGACAGGGCUAUUCUCUGAGAGAUACCGGGGCUGGAGAGAAAGACAAAGCUACUCUCUGAGAGAUACCGGGGCUGGAGAGACAGACAGGGCUAUUCUCUGAGAGAUACCGGAGCUGGAGAGAAAGACAAAGCUACUCUCUGAGAGAUACCGGGGCUGGAGAGACAGACAGGGCUACUCUCUGAGAGAUACCAGGGCUGGACAGACAGACAGGGCUAUUCUCUGAGAGAUACCGGGGCUGGAGAGACAGACAGGGCUACUCUCUGAGAGAUACCAGGGCUGGACAGACAGACAGGGCUAUUCUCUGAGAGAUACCGGGGCUGGAGAGACAGACAGGGCUGUUCUCUGAGAGAUACCGGGGCUGGACAGACAGACUGGGCUAUUCUCUGAGAGAUUCCAUGGCUGGGAAGACAGACAAAGCUACUCUCUGAGAGAUACCGGGGCUGGAGAGACAGACAGGGCUAUUCUCUGAGAGAUACCGGGGCUGGAGAGAAAGACAAAGCUACUCUCUGAGAUGGAAGGACACACUCCGAGGCCCAGUUCCAAUAUGGUGGAAAGUCAACACACCCCAACAGAGCUUAAAAUGGAGCCUGGAGACUAGAGUAGCUAUCCACUCAAAACCAGAAGGAGAAGUAAUGUCCGCAGACAAGAGAUCCUGACCUUUAUGGCACAGGAGAUAGUGUGCUUAACAGCAGAGUCACUGGAUCAAGCACAGCUGUGACUUUAUUCUCUUCAGUGCUACAUUUGGCAUCAAGGGCCUAAUGAUAGGUAGUGUGAGAUUGGUUUGGGAUCAGACCAAUAAAAUGCAUCCCCAACCAAUCCACUCAUGUGUGUGUGUGUGUGUG